rnacentral:rRNA from 1 species
GACGAACGCUGGCGGCGUGCCUAAUACAUGCAAGUAGAACGCUGAAGGAGGAGCUUGCUUCUCUGGAUGAGUUGCGAACGGGUGAGUAACGCGUAGGUAACCUGCCUGGUAGCGGGGGAUAACUAUUGGAAACGAUAGCUAAUACCGCAUAAUAUUGACUAUUGCAUGAUAGUCAGUUGAAAGGUGCAACUGCACCACUACCAGAUGGACCUGCGUUGUAUUAGCUAGUUGGUGGGGUAACGGCUCACCAAGGCGACGAUACAUAGCCGACCUGAGAGGGUGAUCGGCCACACUGGGACUGAGACACGGCCCAGACUCCUACGGGAGGCAGCAGUAGGGAAUCUUCGGCAAUGGGCGGAAGUCUGACCGAGCAACGCCGCGUGAGUGAAGAAGGUUUUCGGAUCGUAAAGCUCUGUUGUAAGAGAAGAACGAGUGUGAGAGUGGAAAGCUCACACUGUGACGGUAUCUUACCAGAAAGGGACGGCUAACUACGUG